GUCAGUGAAUACCUGGGUGCAGCUCUUCGGAGAGAUCAGACAGGACCCAAGAAAAAGCCCCUGGUGUGGGGAGGAAGCGUGGCUGGAGGGUCAUGAAGAAGUCCCUGGUUGUGUCAACCUGGCUUGCCUGUGACUGUACCAGACACAUGAAGAAAGUCUCUACUAAGUAUCUUGGAAAUGUCAUGAAAGGGGACACUGUAGUGUCUACUAUUGAGCCUUGCCAGGAGUUUCCUACAUUUUUUUUGUACACAGAAGAUGUGAAAGGAGGACAAAUACCUGAACUUACCUUUGCUGUGACUCCAUGGAUCCAACUGGCAAGUGAUUGUGAAGUCAGAAUAAAGUAGAUGUCUAGCAAAUUACAUAAUAAAAUGGUUCCUGCCUUGUCUGGUUGAA